GCGCGGGUGACGUAAUGGUAAGCGCGUUGGACUCCGGAUCGAGCGGUACGGUUUCGAGCAUUGGCCGGGGCA